CAUUCGGAUUGUAGGCUGCAACUCGCCUACAUGAAGUUGGAAUCGCUAGUAAUCGCGAAUCAGAAUGUCGCGGUGAAUACGUUCCCGGGUCUUGUACACACCGCCCGUCACACCACGAGAGUUUACAACACCCGAAGUCAGUGGCCUAACCGCAAGGAGGGAGCUACCUAAGGUGGGGUAGAUGAUUGGGGUGAAGUCGUAACAAGGUAAC
rnacentral:rRNA from 1 species